CCGGCNCCACGAUGAAGGUGGCCGUGGACUUCGAGGAGUGUCUGAAGGACUCGCCCCGCUUCAGAUCUAAAGCUAAAGAAGGAAAUGGACACACAGCUCUCUCCGUACGUCUGAAUCAUUUACGCCAAAUGAAGAAGUUGCCCUGGGGAGGGGCCUGGAGCAGAGCUUGUCUUGUGAGAACUGAAUUGGGACAAGGAGCUUUAUCGGGGGAAGCAAAGACUACUUGGAGAAAAGUCUCCGUUUAUUUUUUUGUGCAAGUAUUAUUAAGAUCCUGCUUGUGUACUCUGCAAAAAUUAAAAUCACAAACCAUAUUUAAACAGUGACAAUUUCAGUGAGAGGUUGGUUGAACAGAUUAUGUUUAUGUGACUCAUUUUCUUGGUUUAUAACUGUGGGAUAACUUCCUUUUUAAUAUGUGAAAGAAAUACAGGGAAACAGAACCAAAGUCUUGUAGUUUUGAUUUUUAAAAAGAAGCAGCAAAUUUUAAAUAUGUGGAAAUAUAUCUGCUGUGGGUGACAGUUGCAGAUCUUAGUAAAUAGUCAAAUGAAAAAUGUAGUCUGCUGAGCCUGUUUUAUGUAACUGUAGCAGCCUUUCAGAAAACCUGAUUAGACAUUGCAAAAGUUCAUUUUAAAAUCCAGUGGCAGGAAGUGUCCAGUUCCAUCACUGCGGUUGUGAGUUCUAGUUUCUGGCAGUUUUGAAUAGAAUACUGUGGGUACUGUCUGGUUUCUGAACUACAGUACAGAUGUUAAGGGUAAGCAAGAAAAAUUGUACAAUUAAAAUGUUUGCUGGUUAACAUUCUUAGCUAAAGAUAAGAUAACUUAUAAUCCUACAGACUCGAUGCAGGGAUUAAAACAUAUUCCUUUUCCGAAGUGACUAAUCUGAGAAUUGUUCAUCCAUGUGAUGCUAGUCCAAUAGGAUACGUUAGCUAACAAGUCUGCAGUGUAUAAAAGGAUCUGUUACCUGCUUUUCAUGGGUUCAUUUGUACAUCGUUUCAGUCUGGCCUGUGAUGAAUGAGUAUAGCUUGGAGACAUCUAAGUGAUUUGCAUAUUUAUAAAAACACCACCCACACCCUAGUUGGCUGGUGGAGAAAGUGGCUUGCAUGAAGGCUUGUCAAUUUUAAUUUAUCACUUUCUAAAAAGAAAAGCCUCUGUAAUCGUUGGAAUAAUUAAUGCUCUGUCAUGUGAACUCACAAAACACUUCAGUAUUUUUAUAGAUUAAUUCAAUCUAGAAUAUUACGUAAAUACUGUUCAGGAACUUUUGUAAAUAUGUCAUGUAUUACAAAUUUUACAAAUUCAAACUCCAGGAAGCAAAGUGGGUCUAGAAAAUCUACAAACACUGUGAGCAGUCAUGAAAUUGACAAAAACUAUGAAGUUUCAUGGUGCUGCUUAAGAAAUGAUAAAUUGCUGCAGAAGAAGGCAGUGUUAACAGCAGAGGAGAACCUAAACUAGAGCAGUGGGUUAGAUUAGUGGAAACUCCCUCCAGCCUCCUCAAAGCAGACCAUAGAUAACUGGGACUGGGAAGUGGUGCAGACAAUGAAAGCAUUCUCUUCUCUUUUAAAGCCUGAAAAGGUAAUAGGUUUUUAAUUAAUCAGAUAUCUGCUAGACAGAGUCUGAUUAAAAAGGUGGAGCAACUUGUCAGGGUCUGAGGACAGCAGGCUGGUAAGAAUCCCAGCUGUCUGUGAGGGGUACUUGAGUGUUUUAGGAGGGCAGUGCUCAUGGAUCGUGCUGCUGCUUGUAAUUGUCUGAAGUGGUGUAACAGGGUAUUUUAAUGCUUCUUUUUAAACACAGAGGUGAGCAGAUAUAUGAAUUGGUAAUUCAUAUGCAGAACAUUUGCUCUAACUUGGAGCGAAUUAGAAUGUGCAAUUGACUAAUUUAGAGUUAGGAAAUCUUUUAAAAAUAUCUAAUGGUAACAAAAAUCAGUUCUGCUAAAAUCUGUUGCAUUUAUUUUCCAGCCAGUUAUCUAUCUUGCAUGCUGUCUCUCUCUCCUUUUCAAAAAAACCAAACAAACUUGUUUUGGCUUAUUGUUGCUGUGUAGUAAACCGGAAUUUUCCUAAAAAUUUUCUUGAGCAUUUAUAGAGGUAACGCUAAAUAUUUGUAAAAUAUUAUUAUAAUGUGAAAGAGAAACCAAUAUUCCUUUACAGAUAACUUUAAAAGAAAAUAAAAACCAAAUCUGAG
rnacentral:lncRNA from 1 species